AGUGCCUCUGUUCAAAGCUUACCCUUCUUUGGGGCUGGAGCCGGAGAGGCAGAGAGAGAGAUGUGCCCGACUGUUGCAGAUGGACCCGAUCGCUUAGGCCUGAUCAAACAUUGCUCAGUGUAAUUGCAUUAGAAGUUCUUGGGCUUUUAAGGCUCCCCUUCAAAGACAGGGGCAGCAAACUGACCUGUGAACUGCUUGCAAACUGUCCUGUUUGCUUCUCCCUGGUUGUCUGGAGUGUCUCCUUAUAUACCUCUCCUGGGCCAGGACUGGCUUAGGCCCCUUUGUUAAAGCCUUUUGUCACACCUAGGCAGAAAUCAAUCAGCAAUCAGCCCACCCAGUUGCUCGGAGCACAGACCCAAGCGCAUAAUCCACCAAACAACCCUCAGCAAGCCAACCACACGGGCCACUCUGGCUCACUUACCUUCCCAGAGCAGGAUCUGGUGCCUGGUUCCUCUUCCCCUUCCUCCUAUUGCUCCCAGCAAACUUCUUGCAAGUUGUCCUGUUUGCUUUCCCCUGUCCAUUGGCCUUAGGAGACUCUUCCCGCUUUCCAAUAAGAAAUUAACUUACCCUAUUUCCGUUUCAACACUAGAGAAAGAGUCAGCCUGCUGAGGUAGGUUUGAGUUCGGGAAACCCAAUUCAGACAUCCCUGGGUUCUGAUCCAUCUUAAAAUAGUCUCAGUCACUUUAAAUAAAAAAGGAUCCUGGUUCUUGAGUGUCCUCAAAUAUAAAUGUGCAAUGAAAUCAAGGAGGGAAUUUGGUGCAAUUAAUAUAAUAUGUCUGUAUAAUCUAAAGAGACUCUAUCCCUUAAAAGAAUUUAACUAAAGUGCAGUUCUAAUAUAAUGACUUUUUCCAGACUAAACCUCUAAAAACACUGAUGGAAAAUUAAUUUAUUCUAUUUAUUUUUCCCUUCCCAGUUGAAUCUGCUUUUAUUUAAUGCCAGAUAGUAUGGUUGAACUUUCAAUGGGGCUCAUUUAAAAAACUUCUAGAAUUGAUUGAUUUAGAGCUGCCUUCCCCACAUUUAGCUAGAUAGAUGCUUGAAUCUGAGUGUCAUGAGCUACACAAUAACAGCAUCACUCAACAGCUCUUGUUACGUUUUGGCUGUAACUUCCACCAUUAUAGAUUUUUUUUUUUUUUUUUUUAAACCAACCUAUUUUUUAGAGCUGAGCCUGGUUUGACAACUCUCAAGAGAAAUCAGCUCCUCCAUAAUAGAUCAUAAAUGCCUAACAAGUGCCUCAAACCUUUAAGGCCUGGAGUGACCACUGCCCACAUCUCUAAAGUCCAGUCAUCUGCGGGCUGGCUUGUAAGAGACAAGGGAGCCAGCUGGGAUGGCAGUGGUUCUGCAAGAGGUAGGACAUAUGCCUGCCUUUGUGAUCCCCUGCUGGGAACCAGGUCGGCUACUGGUCCAACUCACAACAACCCCAGGGCUGCUCUGACUUUUCACUAGCUGGGGAUUAUCGGAGGCACUGCAGCUCUGCCCCUGAGCUACACUAUUUAGGACUGCUGUAGCUAGUGCCAAGUGUUUAGCUAAGAGUGCAAGCUGGGUGUGAACGGGGGCUUGUUCACACCUAGGUUAAAAUGGCAGCAAUUUAGUGGCAGGUUUUGAACUGACCCCAAUGACUAUCAUAAUGCUUCUCCCUCAGACCCCCUGGCACUGUCCAGUGACCUUUAGUAAAAGCGAGGUCAACUCUCUGCAAAGUCCAUCGGCUUUAGAAAAUUACCUUCUAAAACAAACCACUGCCUUUACGCGGAGACAAAUGAUUUGUUUGGUUUAUGGCAGCUUGCCCUUCUUACUCUAUGCUAUUCUUAACUUUUCCCUUAUGACUCCCUCCCCUAGUUUCCUCCACUAGUCUGCCUUCAACCGCCCCAUCACGUAGGUAGGGACUAAGCAACAAUCUGCUUUUUGUGUAGUCAAGAGAGGAAGAGCCUUGACGUUUUUUUCUAAACAAUAGUCUUAUUAUGCGUCUCUUGUCCAGGUGAAAUAGAAUUCCUUAUUAACUAAA